GGAUGCCUAGGCGGUAGAAGGCGAUGAAGGACGUGGUAGCCUGCGAUAAGCUUCGGGGAGUCGGCAAACUGACUUUGAUCCGGAGAUUUCCGAAUGGGGAAACCCACCUGUCAUAAGGCAGGUAUUCUACACUGAAUACAUAGGUGUAGGAGGCAAACCCGGGGAACUGAAACAUCUAAGUACCCGGAGGAAAAGAAAUCAAUUGAGAUUCCCUCAGUAGCGGCGAGCGAAAGGGGAACAGCCCUUAAG
rnacentral:rRNA from 1 species